rnacentral:rRNA from 1 species
AUACGUAGGUGGCAAGCGUUGUCCGGAUUUACUGGGCGUAAAGGGAGCGCAGGUGGCUCAUCAAGUCUAGGGUGAAAUAUCCCGGCUCAACCGGGAGGAGUCUCUAGAUACUGAUGGGCUUGAGGAAAGCAGAGGAAAGCGGAAUUCUCGGUGUAGCGGUGAUAUGCGUAGAUAUCCAGAGGAACACCAGUGGCGAAGGCGGCUUUCUGGGCUUUUCCUGACGCUUAGGCUCGAAAGCGUGGGGAGCAAACCGGAUUAGAAACCCCAGUAGUCC